AGUGAACGCUGGCGGUAGGCCUAACACAUGCAAGUCGAACGGCAGCACAGUAAGAGCUUGCUCUUACGGGUGGCGAGUGGCGGACGGGUGAGGAAUACAUCGGAAUCUACUUUUUCGUGGGUGAUAACGUAGGGAAACUUACGCUAAUACCGCAUACGACCUACGGGUGAAAGCAGGGGAUCUUCGGACCUUUCGCGAUUGAAUGAGCCGAUGUCGGAUUAGCUAGUUGGCGGGGUAAAGGCCCACCAAGGCGACGAUCCGUAGCUGGUCUGAGAGGAUGAUCAGCCACACUGGAACUGAGACACGGUCCAGACUCCUACGGGAGGCAGAAGUGGGGAAUAUUGGACAAUGGGCGCAAGCCUGAUCCAGCCAUACCGCGUGGGUGAAGAAGGCCUUCGGGUUGUAAAGCCCUUUUGUUGGGAAAGAAAAGCAGCAGGUUAAUACCCCGCUGUUCUGACGGUACCAAAAGAAUAAGCACCGGCUAACUUCGU
rnacentral:rRNA from 1 species